CACGUUGCACAAGCCCAGCGCACGGUACCCACUGGAUAUGCCCGAGGCCUCCAGAGGAAAGGAAAGGAGGAAAAGGGACAGAAGAAAUGUUCACAGGAACUGCAUAUGGGCCUGCUACUUGUGUCAAAAUGUGACUGAACUCUCUUCCAGCAGGCUAUUUCACUGAACUGAAGCAGUCAAAAGAGAAUGCUCAUGAGAUCCCAUCACCACCACUUUACCGAACUACUUCCAUAUCUUACUCUGAGGGAGGUCUGAAUGCCAUAUUGUGAGCGGCCCUGCUGAAAGACCCAUGUGGCAAGGAUCUGAGAUCAUUGGCCAACAGGCUGCAAAGAGUCCUACCAACAGCCAGGCUGGUGUUCUUGGAAGUGGAUCUUCUCCUACUCUCCUACUUGAGAUGACUGCAGCCCCAGCUAACACUUCGAUUGCAGCCUUGUUAAGAUAUCACGGGCCAGACACACCCAGCUAAGUUAUGCCUGAGUUACUAGCCCACAGAAAUGAUAAGAUAAUAAAUAUUUGCUGUUUUAA
rnacentral:lncRNA from 1 species